rnacentral:rRNA from 1 species
AUACGAAGGUCCCAAGCGUUAUUCGGAAUCACUGGGCGUAAAGAGUACGUAGGCGGUUUGGUAAGUCAGGUGUGAAAUCCCGAAGCUCAACUUCGGAACUGCAUCCGAUACUGCCAGACUAGAGUAAUGGAGAGGCAGGUGGAAUUCUCGGUGUAGCAGUGAAAUGCGUGGAUAUCGAGAGGAAGACCAAUGGCGAAGGCAGCCUGCUGGACAUUUACUGACGCUGAGGUACGAAGGCUAGGGGAGCGAAAGGGAUUAGAUACCCCGGUAGUCC